CUUAUCGGAUGGGUAGGUGCCAUCUCAGCCAGAGCAAUGUCCUACACAAUACAUAGCAGAAUAAAACUUCAUAAGAAAACAGUGUAAAGACUAACAGUAAGCAACUAAGCAUUCAAAGAAAUGAACUUGUCAUCCUAUACUAGAUGAAUAGAGACAGUUGUCAUAUUAUCAGAACAGAAAAAAUGAACAAACCUGAGCAGCCUUGUAGGCCACCAUCGUGCUCUCAGCAGAUUCCUUCCUCUCUGUGCCAGUCUUAAAUUCCGCAAGAUACCUGCCAUAGUUAAGAAGAACAGGAAGGUUAAGAAAUCUGGUUGGUUUCUUCAGAUUAUAGUUAUACAGAUAUGAUUGCACAUCAUAAUAUUGCAUUGCAUCCUUCCCAACCUGUGAUAAUCACCCUUCAUCUUGAGGUAGAAGACCUUUGAUUCGGCAGCAGUAGAAGAAGGAACUAGGUGGGAAUCAAGCAGCUUCAGGAUGCCAUCACAGAUAUUGCUCAAUUCAGCCUCAAUCUUCCCACGGUAUUCCUUGAUAAGGUUCACAUGCUCUUCAUUCUUACGGGACUCCUCCUUCUGUUCAAUGGAAGAGACAAUGCGCCAUGAAGCACGGCGAGCCCCAAUCACAUUCUUGUAUGCAACAGACAGGAGGUUACGCUCCUCAACAGUGAGCUCUUCAACAUCUACAGUCUUAGCCACCUUCUCCAUAUACUCAACCAUCUCCUCAUACCUUUCAGCCUGCUCAGCCAGCUUGGCCAUGUAAACAUUCUCCUCCCUCGACAUAUUGACAAAAGA
rnacentral:lncRNA from 1 species